UUGGAGGGCAAGUCUGGUGCCAGCAGCCGCGGUAAUUCCAGCUCCAAUAGCGUAUAUUAAAGUUGUUGCAGUUAAAAAGCUCGUAGUUGAAUUUCGGGAUCAAUAUGCUGGUCGUGCCUUUGGUAUGUACUGGUAUUAUUGGUUUCUCCUUUCUGAUGAAUCAUGAUGUCAUUAAUUUGGUGUCAUGGGGAAUCAGGACUGUUACUUUGAAAAAAUUAGAGUGUUUAAAGCAGGCUUACGCUUGAAUACAUUAGCAUGGAAUAAUGAAAUAGGACGUUUAAUUCUAUUUUGUUGGUUUCUAGGAUUGACGUAAUGAUUAAUAGGGAUAGUUGGGGGCAUUAGUAUUCAAUUGUCAGAGGUGAAAUUCUUGGAUUUAUUGAAGACUAACUACUGCGAAAGCAUUUGCCAAGGAUGUUUUCAUUAAUCAAGAACGAAAGUUAGGGGAUCGAAGACGAUCAGAUACCGUCGUAGUCUUAACCAUAAACUAUGCCGACUAGGGAUCGGAUGAUGUUAAUUUAUGACUCAUUCGGCGCCUUACGGGAAACCAAAGUGUUUGGGUUC
rnacentral:rRNA from 1 species